rnacentral:rRNA from 1 species
GACGAACGCUGGCGGCGUACUUAACACAUGCAAGUCGAACGAAGUGGCGAACGGGUGAGUAACGCGUAAUCAACCUGCACUUCAGAGGGGGACAACAGUAGGAAACGACUGAUAAUACAGCAUACUGAAGGAGGGGAUUGCGGCUGAUUAGCGAGUUGGAGGGGUAACGGCCCACCAAGGCGAUGAUCAGUAGCCGGUCUGAGAGGAUGAACGGCCACAUUGGGACUGAGACACGGCCCAGACUUCUACGGGAGGCAGCAGUGGGGAAUCUUCCGCAAUGGACGAAAGUCUGACGGAGCAACUGCGCGUGAGAGAUGACUGCCCUCGGGUUGUAAAGCUCUGUUAAUCGGGACGCAUUACCGGAAUAGAAAGCCACGGCUAACUACGUGCCAGCAGCCGCGGUAAUAC